UGGUCCAUCCUAAUCCCUGCGGGUCAGCCUGUGACCUGCCAGGUUUUGCUUGUAGACUAGAGCAUCCUAGAAGUCCUACCUGCAGGAGUGAGCAGGGUUUGAGAGAGCUCACUUCACGGGCGCUUCUAGACACCC
ensembl:snoRNA